UUGUUAUAUGAAAAGAGAGAAGGUAAGUACUACUUUGACAUGGACGGAAUGGCGUCUGGGCUUAAAAUACCUAUAAACGGUUAAGGCGCAUCGCUUAACAGCAUUUUUUU